AUUGAACGCUGGCGGCAUGCUUUACACAUGCAAGUCGAACGGCAGCACGGGCUUCGGCCUGGUGGCGAGUGGCGAACGGGUGAGUAAUAUAUCGGAACGUACCCAGAAGUGGGGGAUAACGUAGCGAAAGUUACGCUAAUACCGCAUACGAUCUAUGGAUGAUAGCAGGGGACCGCAAGGCCUUGUGCUCCUGGAGCGGCCGAUAUCUGAUUAGCUAGUUGGUGAGGUAAAGGCUCACCAAGGCGACGAUCAGUAGCUGGUCUGAGAGGACGACCAGCCACACUGGAACUGAGACACGGUCCAGACGCCUACGGGAGGCAGCAGUGGGGAAUUUUGGACAAUGGGCGCAAGCCUGAUCCAGCAAUGCCGCGUGAGUGAAGAAGGCCUUCGGGUUGUAAAGCUCUUUUGCCAGGGAAGAAACGGUAGAGGCUAAUAUCCUUUGCUAAUGACGGUACCUGAAGAAUAAGCACCGGCUAACUACGU
rnacentral:rRNA from 1 species